rnacentral:rRNA from 1 species
CACACCGCCCGUCACGCCAUGGGAGUUGGUGUCGCCUGAAACGGCCGAGCUAACCGCAAGGGGGCAGGUCUUAAUGGUGAUACUGAUGACUGGGGUG